rnacentral:rRNA from 1 species
GAAGCAAAGCCGCGAGGUAGAGCAAAUCUCAAAAAAAACAAUCCCAGUUCAGACUGCAGGCUGCAACUCGCCUGCACGAAGUCGGAAUUGCUAGUAAUCGUAGGUCAGCAUACUACGGUGAAUACGUUCCCGGGCCUUGUACACACCGCCCGUCAAACCAUGAGAGUUGGCAACACCCGAAGUCGGUAGUCUAACCGCAAGGAGGACGCCGCCGAAGGUGGGGUUGAUGAUUAGGGUUAAGUCGUAACAAGGUAAC